AUUGAUUUCUUUAGGACUGCUGGAAACUUACUGAUAUAAUUCUGUUUCUGUCAGCUAGGAUGAAUGACAGUCCACAAGAGUAAAAGUCAAAGUAACUACAAACCUGUUUUGUCCAUUAUUUGAACAAAAGCCUGUGUGUAGAGCCUACUGGAUAUUUCACUAACCCUCUUUCUCCCAACAAGGACAGAUGCCGUGGUUCUUGUACUAGCAGUUCAGUAAAGUUCUGAAAGAACUUCAAGACUGGAACAAAAUCCCAUGUCCAUUCGUACCCUAAGGGGAAAAAAAAAUAAUAAUUAAAAAAAAAAUAAUCUAGAAGCCAGAAGGUAAAUGGAUUUGCAAUAAGCUGACCAUACCAAAUUGCUCAGAACAGAGAGCUCUAAUUGUGACUGUAAAAAGACAAAGAAUCCUACAGAAGGAUCUCAUGAUAGUAAGAAAUUAAACAUGGAAAUUGUGGAUAAAAAUCAGUGCUAAUUAGUGGAAAUGUAGACUGAGCUUAGUAGAAUUUGAUUUUUCUUGUGUUUCUCAUGUGGUACAAGAUGAAAUGUAAGAAUUCUGUUUAUAUAUUGUUGUAGCUUUAGCAUAAUUGGUUUUAAGUGACUGUUUGAAAUUCUUGGUUGUAGCUCUAAACUCUUCUUCACAAUGGUGGAUGAGACUGAACGUUUUGAUAUUUUCCAAGACCACAUGGAAAGCAGAUCUUGUACUGGGAAGGAAGUGUCUGAGUUUAUUGGUUAGCGGCUGUGUUCUGAAAUGUCAUAUCCUGACCCAGCUAGUGCUUUGCUUUAUCCUCUUGCUGGACCUUCAAGAGUGGCUGUCACAUUAACUAAACAAGACAGAGGCCUACAGCAGUACCUUGUGGAAGCUGCAUAUAACUAUGUUCCUCAGGGAAAAUUGAUUCUUCUAAGAAUUCACGAAUUGGACACCUGGUGUUGAUAAUAGAUGACCAAGAUGUAUAUUACAUUAAGGUAUGUUUUCAGAUCAUGAGCUCUGGUACUAGGAUGAAUACUCAAAUAAAAGCAUGGAAAAGAGAGUAAAUUAAACA
rnacentral:lncRNA from 1 species